rnacentral:rRNA from 1 species
UAGAAGCAGCCAUCCUUUAAAGAGUGCGUAACAGCUCACUAGUCGAGUGGCCCUGCGCCGAAAAUGUACGGGACUAAGCUUCCAACCGAAGCGGUGGAUCAGGAUAAAAAUCUUUGGAUUUUUAUCCUGGUGGUAGGGGAGCGUUCCUACUGCGGUGAAGGUACACCGUAAGGAGUACUGGAGCGGUAGGAAGUGAGAAUGCUGGCUUGAGUAACGAAAAGAAGGAUGAGAAUUCCUUCCGCCGUAAGUCUAAGGUUUCCUGGGGAAGGUUCGUCCGCCCAGGGUUAGUCGGUCCUAAGUUGAGGCCGAAAGGCGUAAACGAUGGUCAGCCGGUUAAUAUUCCGGCACCACCUAACCUUCGUAAAAAGCGAAGGGGUGGUCGAGAAGGAUAGGUCUGCAGGGUGAUGGAAUACCCUGUCCAAGCCCGUAGGUGACAUCUCUAGGCAAAUCCGGAGAUGUAUUAACACCGAGAGGUGAUGGGGAGUCACUGGGUAACCAGUGGCGAAGUGACUGAUUCCAUGCUCGCUAGAAAAACCUCGUAGCAAUGAAGGUUAGGUGACCGUACCGCAAACCAACACAGGUAGACUGGGAUAAAUGUCCCAAGGCGCGCGGAAGAACUCUCGUCAAGGAACUCGGCAAUCUAACCCCGUACCUACGGAAGAAGGGGUGCUCUUCUUGGUGUAAGUAAUUUCUACUGAAGCUAAGAAGAGUCGCAGGUAAUCGGCUCGGGCGACUGUUUAACAAAAACACAGGUCUCUGCCAAGCCGUAAGGCUAGGUAUAGGGGCUGUGGCCUGCCCAGUGCCGGAAGGUUAUGGGGAGGGGUUAGCCUACUUCGUGUAGGCGAAGCUCCAAACUUAAGCCCCGGUGAACGGCGGCCGUAACUAUAACGGUCCUAUGGUAGCGAAAUACCUUGUCGGGUAAGUUCCGACGCGCAUGAAAGGUGUAACGACCUGAGCGCUGUCUCGACGAGAGAUCCGGUGAAAUAGCAAUGCCCGUGCAGAUGCGGGCUACCUGCAGCAGGACGGAAAGACCCCGUGGAGCUUUACUACAACUUGGCAUUGGAUUUUGGCACAUUAUGUAUAGGAUAGGUGGGAGGCUGUGAAGCAGGGGCGCCAGCCUUUGUGGAGCCACCCUUGGAAUACCACCCUUAAUGUGUUAGAAUUCUAACUCUCAACCCUGACCGGGUGAGAGGACAGUGUCAGGCGGGUAGUUUGACUGGGGCGGUCGCCUCCUAAAAGG